AGUAACGGCGAGUGAAGCGGCAACAGCUCAAAUUUGAAAUCUGGCUCUUUCAGAGUCCGAGUUGUAAUUUGCAGAGGGCGCUUUGGCUUUGGCAGCGGUCCAAGUUCCUUGGAACAGGACGUCACAGAGGGUGAGAAUCCCGUACGUGGUCGCUAGCUAUUGCCGUGUAAAGCCCCUUCGACGAGUCGAGUUGUUUGGGAAUGCAGCUCUAAAUGGGAGGUAAAUUUCUUCUAAAGCUAAAUAUUGGCCAGAGACCGAUAGCGCACAAGUAGAGUGAUCGAAAGAUGAAAAGCACUUUGGAAAGAGAGUCAAACAGCACGUGAAAUUGUUGAAAGGGAAGCGCUUGCAGCCAGACUUGCUUGCAGUUGCUCAUCCGGGCUUUUGCCCGGUGCACUCUUCUGCAGGCAGGCCAGCAUCAGUUUGGGCGGUGGGAUAAAGGUCUCUGACACGUUCCUUCCUUCGGGUUGGCCAUAUAGGGGAGACGUCAUACCACCAGCCUGGACUGAGGUCCGCGCAUCUGCUAGGAUGCUGGCGUAAUGGCUGUAAGCGGCCCGUCUUGAAACACGGACCAAGGAGUCUAACAUCUAUGCGAGUGUUUGGGUGUCAAGCCCGAGCGCGUAAUGAAAGUGAACGGAGGUGGGAACCCGCAAGGGUGCACCAUCGACCGAUCCUGAAGUUUACGGAAGGAUUUGAGUAAGAGCAUGGCUGUUGGGACCCGAAAGAUGGUGAACUAUGCUUGAAUAGGGUGAAGCCAGAGGAAACUCUGGUGGAGGCUCGCAGCGGUUCUGACGUGCAAAUCGAUCGUCAAA
rnacentral:rRNA from 1 species